CAUCCCCAGUCUCAAGGGGAAACCAGGACAAUGAGAACAGCCACUUGCCAUCAGGAGUCACUGAAGGGGCCCCAGGAUGGGAUGGUGGGGAGAUAAGAACCAUGAGAGAAGUUAGCACAAAGGAGUUAUGGGACAAAAGGUCCAAGAUAGGCAGAAAAGAAAAUGUUGCCAGUUGAUGGUGAAGAAAGGAAGUCAGAGGGCUCAGACACUGUGGGGGACAGAACAUCUCCGUGUGCACUCUCAUCUCUUGUAGUCAGCAACAGGUUUCCACAGGGAAGGCCCUACAUCAUCUGCUACCCUGAAAGAUCUGGAGGUAAGAGGCUCUGGGCAGAGGUGCAGUGACCCUUCGGGUCAACCCUCCAACCUCCUCCUCCAGGUGGGACUGGGUGCCCCUCUGCCAGCUGAGACAGCCCACACACCCCAGCCCUAAGGAUCAUUCUCUCUACCUUUCCCCCCACUCCUGCUCCACCUCCUCCUCUCUGCAUGCACCUCAGAGCCCGUGCCAAGAACGAGCAGUAGUCCUGGAUUCAACGUCCGUAAAAAUCAGUCGACUGAAGAACACCAUCAAAUCUUUGAAACAACAGAAGAAACAAGUGGAACAUCAGCUGGAAGAAGAAAAGAAAGCAAACAACGAGAGACAGAAAGCUGAAAGGGAGCUAGAGGUUCAAAUCCAGACAUUGAUCAUACAGAAAGAGGAACUAAAUACGGACCUGUACCACAUGGAACGUUCUCUCAGAUACUUUGAAGGUGGGAAUCUGGGCACCCUGUCAUCCUUCAACCUGGCACUUUGACAGGUCUUCAGGGGGAGUCCUUUGGGCCCCAUCUCAACUCCCUCAUUACAGAAGAGUCCAAGGACCUGGCUGUCCGCCUGCAAUAUUCAUUGCAGUGUAAAGGAGAGUUAGAGAGGGCUCUCUCUGCUGUCAUCGCCACAGAGAAGAAGAAGGCAAACCAGGUGAGUCCAGCCACCUGCCUCAUCCCCUGGGAGCCUGGUUUUGCAGAUGGAGGAGUGAGCCUAAAGGUCCCUUCUGCAGGAUGGCGUGUCCUGC
rnacentral:lncRNA from 1 species